rnacentral:rRNA from 1 species
GCCUGUGGCCAUGCCAUUUUAUAUAUGACUGAUCUUGUCUGCUCUCAGAAGCUAAGCAAGGUUGGCCUUUAUUAGUACUUGGAUGGGAUUCUACCCUGGAAUACCGGAUGCUGUAGGCU